rnacentral:rRNA from 1 species
UGGGGAAUUUUGGACAAUGGGCGAAAGCCUGAUCCAGCAAUGCCGCGUGUGUGAAGAAGGCCUUCGGGUUGUAAAGCACUUUUGUCCGGAAAGAAAUGGCUCUGGUUAAUACCUGGGGUCGAUGACGGUACCGGAAGAAUAAGGACCGGCUAACUACGUGCCAGCAGCCGCGGUAAUACGUAGGGUCCAAGCGUUAAUCGGAAUUACUGGGCGUAAAGCGUGCGCAGGCGGUUGUGCAAGACCGAUGUGAAAUCCCCGAGCUUAACUUGGGAAUUGCAUUGGUGACUGCACGGCUAGAGUGUGUCAGAGGGGGGUAGAAUUCCACGUGUAGCAGUGAAAUGCGUAGAGAUGUGGAGGAAUACCGAUGGCGAAGGCAGCCCCCUGGGAUAACACUGACGCUCAUGCACGAAAGCGUGGGGAGCAAACAGGAUUAGAUACCCUGGUAGUCCACGCCCUAAACGAUGUCAACUAGUUGUUGGGGAUUCAUUUCCUUAGUAACGUAGCUAACGCG